GUUUUGAAGAAAAAGAACAGUUGCUUAGAUAUUGAAAUACAUACACUGUUACAAGCCAAUGAAUGCAUAUAAAACAUUUAUUUUCACUUUUAAAGGUCCUUAGAAAGGUAGUUUAAAUGGAUUCUGAUUUUCACCUCAUAUUUUGCAUGGCUAAAUCAUGGGAGUGGAAAAUGAUAGGGUAAUUAAGGCAUGAGAAGGACUGUUUAGCUUUUUUGUUGCAGUCAUGAAUGAUUUAUUGAAGCAUAGUGAAUGUUU